rnacentral:rRNA from 1 species
UACGUAGGGUGCGAGCGUUGUCCGGAAUUAUUGGGCGUAAAGAGCUUGUAGGCGGUUUGUCGCGUCUGCCGUGAAAGCCCAGGGCUUAACCCUGGGUCUGCGGUGGGUACGGGCAGACUAGAGUGUGGUAGGGGAGACUGGAAUUCCUGGUGUAGCGGUGAAAUGCGCAGAUAUCAGGAGGAACACCGAUGGCGAAGGCAGGUCUCUGGGCCUUACCUGACGCUGAGGAGCGAAAGCAUGGGGAGCGAACAGG